rnacentral:tRNA from 1 species
GGGGGUGGCGCUCAGCGAGGAGCGCGCCGACCAAAAGUCGGCGAUGCGGGUGCGAAUCCCGCCACCUCCACCA